rnacentral:rRNA from 1 species
GAUGAACGCUAGCGGCAGGCUUAAUACAUGCAAGUCGAGGGGCAGCAUGACUGUAGCAAUACAGUUGAUGGCGACCGGCAAACGGGUGCGGAACACGUACAGAACCUUCCUUCAAGCGGGGAAUGGCCCAGAGAAAUUUGGAUUAAUACCCCAUAGUAUUACGAAGUGGCAUCACUUUGUACUUAAAGAUUUAUCACUUGAAGAUGGCUGUGCGGCUGAUUAGGUAGUUGGCGGGGUAACGGCCCACCAAGCCUACGAUCAGUAACUGGUGUGAGAGCACGACCAGUCACACGGGCACUGAGACACGGGCCCGACUCCUACGGGAGGCAGCAGUAAGGAAUAUUGGUCAAUGGACGAAAGUCUGAACCAGCCAUGCCGCGUGGAGGAUGAAGGCCCUCUGGGUUGUAAACUUCUUUUAUAUGGGACGAAAAAGGGUCUUUCUAGAUCAACUGACGGUACCAUGUGAAUAAGCACCGGCUAACUCCGUGCCAGCCGCCGCGGUAAGAC